GAUUCGCCGGUUAGCUAUCAGACCUAGUCACACAAGACUGCCGGAUCACGUAGGUCAAAACAAGACCUUGAAUUGUUUACGAGCUAGAUACAUUGUUGAACCUUAAGCCUUGAUGUUCUCUUAGAGUUUUGAAAAGCCAGCCGCAGUUAUUUUUAUGUGAAGAAGAUUCCUCAGUUUCCGGCUUCUUUCUCCUCAGCAGA
rnacentral:lncRNA from 1 species